GAGUUCCCUUCGGGGACAUUGGUGACAGGUGGUGCAUGGUUGUCGUCAGCUCGUGUCGUGAGAUGUUGGGUUAAGUCCCGCAACGAGCGCAACCCUUGUCUUUAGUUGCCAUCAUUAAGUUGGGCACGCUAGAGAGACUGCCAGGGAUAACCUGGAGGAAGGUGGGGAUGACGUCAAAUCAUCAUGCCCCUUAUGCUUAGGGCUACACACGUGCUACAAUGGGUAGUACAGAGGGUUGCCAAGCCGUAAGG
rnacentral:rRNA from 1 species